GCGAGGGUAGUCUAGUGGUUAUGAUGUUUGCCUUACAUUGGAAAAUGGAACGCAAAAUGUCGGGGGUUCGAAUCCCCCCUCUCGUA